rnacentral:lncRNA from 13 species
CAAAGACCUCAGUUCAACCCCUGUGGAAGGGCAGACUACUAUUGCUGUUUACAAAUAAGUCAUUUUACUUACAGAAAUUAGGUUUUUCCCCCGUCAUUAUUAUUUCUUUCCUCUGAUGCAUCCAUUCCUUUCCUCUCUGUGAAGGAUAUCUCCAGGAAAUAGAAGGGGACAGUGCAAAGCAGAUUCCUGUGGCUCCACAUUGGCUGCAUUUGCACGUCUUCACUUUAAAGAAUCACCAGAAUGACUUAUCUGAUCUCACGAUUAGCAAGCCAGCCUUGAGUUGCUGUAUGAAGAUAGUGGAGCUUCUGAAUCUUCUGCCAUGACAGAACCUAGAGUGGGAAAGCUAAGAGCUGGCAAUAUCAUAAUUGUCCAUGGUGUACAGAAGCUGUCCUGGAAUAAUAGCAAAGACUAUGUAUGCUGUGGAUCAGUUUAAGUUCUCUUCCUGAGUAGCCAGUCCAAAUGCUGGAGGUGCAGAGCCUGAAAAAAGAUCAGAAGGAAUUACCAUCUUUAAAUACUUGGAUCUUCACUAUACCAGCAACAGCUUCCAUGAGGGCCUAUUUCAUAACGUGUCCUGGGAUAAUGUGGCCUGGGACUGACUUGAAGCAGACUCCUCUGUUGUUUCCCAGAUCUUCUUUUUGGGAGCAGGUAGCAGGAGUGACUUCAUUCAUGUGCUCAAGAGACACCGGAACAGGCUGCAUCUGUAGGAUCAGAUGCUGUGGUGUGCAAAGAUCCUCCUAGGAGCUGCUGAUGGCCCUUGAUUACUACCAAAUUUAGUGAAAUCAAAGAUACUCAUCACAUUCCUAGUUUCAAGCUGCUAAUGUAUGAAGCAUUCUUUUUCUGCCAUUUUCUUAUCAGCAUUGCAAAAUAUUAGUUAUGAUAGUAAUCUAAAGUGUAUUCUUGUAUGUACACUAUUGCAAUAAAAUCUUGUCAUUAGAUGCAGCAUUUUGUGCUUUCUAAUUCUGUUUUAUGUCAAUAGUAUUUCCAAAUGUUCAAGGUCUUGAUAGAUAAGAUAAUAAAAAAAAAAGUCUGUGUUGAAUGGUAUAAAUAGAACAUAGACAAACGAAAAUUAUCCAGAGGCUAUUUGGGAUUCAAACAUCCUUUAAACAGAAUUUAGAAUUAAAUUGCCACUUUUAGUGAACUUUAAAAAACCCCAAACAAACUCCUGAAUUUAAUAUAAGCUACUUACAAACCCAGUUGUAUUCAUCUCUAGUACUACCCACCUUGAUUAAAUCAAGUCCUCAGGAUGGAAAUGCAGUAUUUCUCUAAGUCUGACUCACAGAGUGGCAUAAUCCAUUAGUCACCUCUUUGCAUGUAAGCUUGGGUAGAUGUUCAAAGCUGAGUUCUGGUUUUUGGUCUGACAAUAUCUACUGAAUUUUUUUUUGAACAUUUCAAUGACUGAUAGAUUUCUGCUGCUUUUUGGAGGGUUUUUGGGUUCUCUGAGGUGAUUUCAGAAUGGUAUGCGAUCAGUUGUGGUUUGGUUCAUAUUUUAAGCUAUGCUGAAACCUGCUGAAAUUUGAAGAGUUUGAACCAGGAGUAGUCCAUCAUACCUGUGGGGUAUCUUUAAUGCCACAAGUUGUGGGAACUUAAGUGUAGUGUUACCUUUGAUCUUACUGCAAUGAUUCUGAACAUAAGUGGCAAAAGCAAUGUUAGCCAGACAUAAAAGAAUUGACUCUCUCCUGUUCUGCUUCCAUGUCCUCAGAGCACUGAAUAACAUUAGGCUCUGCUUUGUGUGCAUGUGCAUUGCAAUGAUUUCUACUGUAGACUUUUGCCAGAUGCACAAAUGUAGAAAGGCUACCGAACACGGAAUGCUUUGGAAAAAUUACCUCCACAACAAACAUGGGUUUUGAAAAUAUUGUUCGUUAGCAAUAUUCUCUCUCUACUGGGUUUACUCUUAAAACUAGUAAACACUGUUAUGCAUGAGCGCCAUACACACAACUGAAACAUGCAUCUAUCAUGUUGAAGAAUUUUCACUUUUUUACAUGGAUCCCAGGUAUUUCUUUUAAUAAGUUUGCAUUUCUGUACUGUCAUUACUUAUGUGAAAAGUAUCCAAGAUCUAGCUUUGUGCUUUGUAUUAUUUAAAGAUGCCUUGAAUGCCCUUUAGAUGGUUAACUAUCUGACGUCAUCAAUGACUGUUUGUCUAGCCAAUGCUAUAGGCGUCAAUGACAAGAGCACAAGGCUGCAAGUCCAGCUUCAUAGACAUGUGCAGCCCAUGUACGAUCAAAAAUGGAUUGCAGAAAUUCAAAUGUGUUUGUAAAUGUCACUUCAGAUUAAUUUUUUAUUUUUUCCCCCUUGCAGUAUAAUCCAGUAUGAUCCACAUUACUUAUUUUUAAAUGAUGGAUAGGUUACCAUCCAAAUUAUUUGUAAGACAUAAAUGACCAUUGUAUGUCUCUUUGAAGUCAGAGGAUGUAUUCUGUAUGACUCAAUCAUUAAAUCAUCUUACAAAUGUCUAACAAAGCACCUGCAUUUAACCAUACUUCCUAUAUUUACAUUUUUGGCCUCU